GACUCUUAGUGGUGAAUCACUCAACUUGUGCACCGAUGAAAAAUGCAGCUAGCUGCGAAAUUAAUGUGAAUUGCAGGACACAUUGAUCAUUGGCACUUUUUUUUAAAUUGAAUCAUCAUGUGGAAAGUUACAAAGCUUUCAGGCUUAAGUCUCA
rnacentral:rRNA from 1 species